rnacentral:rRNA from 1 species
CCAGUAGGCGGCCAACUAAGUCCGACGUGAAAUCCCAAGGCCUAACCUUGGAACUGCGUCGGAUACUGGAUGGCUUGAAUUCGGGAGAGGGAUGCAGAAUUCCAGGUGUAGCGGUGAAAUGCGUAGAUAUCUGGAGGAAUACCGGUGGCGAAGGCGGCAUCCUGGACCGACAUUGACGCUGAACGGCGAAAGCUAGGGGAGCAAACG